UACGGAGGGUGCGAGCGUUAUCCGGAAUUACUGGGGUUAAAGGGUGCGUAGGCGGCCAGGUAAGUCAGGAGUGAAAGUUUGCGGCUCAACCGUAAAAUUGCUUUUGAUACUGCCAGGCUAGAAUUAGGAUGAGGUCAGCGGAAUGUGGCAUGUAGCGGUGAAAUGCAUAGAUAUGCCAUAGAACACCAAUUGCGAAGGCAGCUGGCUAGACCUGGAUUGACGCUGAGGCACGAAAGCGUGGGGAGCGAACAGG
rnacentral:rRNA from 1 species